AGAGAAAGAGGGACAACGGGCAUUUUCUAGCGUUUUUGUGAUGCCGAUAGAUGGCGACAUGAGAAGGUAGUGGGGGGUCGGACAUGGUGUACAAAGACUAAUGCAUAUCACCACAACCGAACACACGAUCAGGGUCUGCAUGUCAUGGAGUCAGCGGAUAUUUAUAUCUACUAGCUCGGCUCAGUUUGAGCCUUUGGCAUACCAGACUCAGGCAGCUCAAGAGCGGAACAGUUCAUUCACAUUCUUCUUUCGAACCCCCCGAACUACCACCAACCGAGCCUCUAGCACCAAUCAGUUUUAGACAUGUCUGAUGAGGUGGAGUACCGCCGUGUUAUUGGUGGCUUGUCAUCGAUGCGAAAGUUGCUGAGAUUUGGGCGUAUGUGGUGAAUGAGGUGAAUGAGCUGG